AGUGAACGCUGGCGGCGUGCCUAAUACAUGCAAGUCGAACGGAGCGGCGCACGGGUGAGUAAUGUAUAGCUAAUCUGCCCUACACUAGAGGACAACAGAUGGAAACGACUGCUAAUACUCUAUAGUGUAGGAUGAGGCUAUAUUGUAUCAGCUAGUUGGUGAGGUAAUGGCGCACCAAGGCUAUGACGAAGAACUGGUCUGAGAGGAUGAUCAGUCAAACUGGAAGUGAGACACGGUCCGGACACCUACGGGAAGCGGCAGUAGGUAAUAUUGCUAAAUGGGGGAAAGCCUGGAGCAGCAACGCCGCGUGGAGGAUGACACUUUUCGAAGCGUAAACUCCUUUUGUUAGGGAAGCGGUACCUAACGAAUAAGCACCGGCUAACUCCGUGCCAGCAGCCGCGGUAAUAC
rnacentral:rRNA from 1 species